UCCUGCGACAGGGUGCUACAGCCUACAGAUAUACUGACCUGCUGGGCUUAGCUCGUUGGGCCUCAUAACGGGCCAUAUUUUGGGCAAGGCCCAAGGACCCUAAUUCCUUUCUGAUUAUCAUCAACGAACCCCUCAUACCCUCAAAAAAAAAUCAACAAACCCCUAAAAAAAAGAUUAUCAAAUCAACGACAAGUCGACAACCAAGAAUCCAGAGACAGGCGAUGGACGCGUUCUUCUUCUUCGUCCACCAUGGAUGCGGCGAAUCAAUCGUUGCGAGAGAGACGGCGGCGAAGGGAUUGGCGGCUUGAUGUGAUGUGCUUGGCGGGGGAGUUCCCAUUGGUUCAAAGAACUUGGCGGGUGAGUUUCCAAUAGGUUCAAGGGAAUUUUGAAAUUUUGAAGUUUCCCCUUUUAUCCAUUGGUUCCACAGAAAACUUCCAGCCAGCCGCCGCCAUGGGUAUGAUCAUAUGAUGCCCGCGAGGGACAGCGCCGGUCAGGUGUUUGUUGGCUGCUCUGAAUGGUAGUGAAAGGAUUUCACCUGGCACCUCAAGUAUUGAACACAGCAAUGAACAGUUAUAUAAACGAAUCAAUCUCCCAAUGAGAAAUUCUACACCUGCCAAGGUACAAAGUUACAAUCCAAACGCUAAAUCAA